AAACAAUGUCAAUUCAUACUGGAGACAUCUUAAUUUUUAGUUACAUUUCCAUUAAUUCUAGGCACUGUUUAUUUUCCAAAUUAUUUUUCUGGGAAAAUUAUGUCCUACCACCAACAUCCUCAGUUAAAUCAGUAUAUUAACUACUAUGCUUAUUUCUCUAAGAAGACUUCUCCUGGGUCAUCUGAACCAAACCCGUGGCAUCUGAUCUUUACUACUCCAAUCCAGAUACGUGCAACUGUGCUGGGGUGAGGAAGGGACACGGCCUGCUGUUAUUUCAGAGGCAGCACAAAGAGAGCCUGGUAAUACAAUGCACACAUAUCUGCUGAUCAGUCUGACAAUGCUGAAGCUUAACUCUGGGAGAUGGAUUUAAAAGUGCAAGAUGAGGUGAAUCCCAGGAUGGCAGUCACAUUCAGCAAAUGUCUCCUGCAUGAACCUUAGUCAACUCCAGAGUGAUUGCGGUGUCCAGGGACUAACUCCUCUUAUGUCUCCUUACAGCUUGGCCUAAUACAGUUGCUGAUGUCUUCUUUACCCUGUCCUGGGUUUGUGUCCCUGCUCUUUGUUUCUUUUCUCUCUUUGAUAUUUUUUAACACAGAAAGCUCAAACAUGCCAUACACAGCUACCAGAACCCAUGUCAGACAAGAUACCCCAUUAAAGGUAAAUCUAAAUAGAAACUGUUAAAGCCUCUGCAGCUGUAAUCAUCAGACAAAACAGGUUUAACUGAUAGUACUGAUGAUGCCAAUAUAGCCAAAAAGUAAAAACUCAAACUCACCAUUAUUUUCCUCCAUUUACCUGUCAGCAGUUACAAUAGUGAACAUGGAGUGGGACAGGGCAACGGUGAAGGAGAGUUUAAAAUACCUUCUUCUCUUGCAUAAAAAAUAGAGCCAGAUCUGCCCAGCACUGUCUGUACUCCCACCUGCCACAAGUGCCUGUGUCCACCCCCACCACGAGCAACACAGCUCUCCACACUUCCUUUUUUGGAAAAUCCUGCCUCUGGGAGGUAAGACAGUGUUAAUUUGGUCUGUAGAAAGCGUGAACCAUUGCAGUUAUGAGAGCAGUGUACAGCAAGGGCAAAGAGGCACAUGCUACCUUUGCAGUAAUCAACAUUUCAAAUCUAUCACAUGCCUCAAAUUAAUUUCCAGCUGAAAAGCAAUCAUUUUUCAAGCACUUAAUACAAACCAUAUGCAAAAAUUAGACAUAGUUCUGACUGAGGAUGAUUUUUCUGAUCAAAUGGUUAUUUGUGACAGUUUCAAAUUUGAUGAAAUAAAUUCAUUUCAGUAAACUCCAAUUUUUUUGUUGACAAAACUGAAGAGCAUUCCCUUGGCAAUUCUCCUACCAGAGAGAUCCCACCUAACCCUGUAUUUGAAUAUCAUCUCCUUGGCACAGUCAGACCUAGGGAAUGCCUCUGCUGCAGUUACUGGGGAGAUUAUAUGGCACAUAAAUGUUCACAUUAACUCUGAGCUAGCAGGGAUAAAGGGGACUGUGCAGUUGAUGGCACACCCAUUAAUAGAGCACAGUCAGGUAAGGUAUCACACAACGCAGCUUAACUGUGCAGUUCAACUUCUC